rnacentral:rRNA from 1 species
CACGUAGGGGCCAAGCGUUGUCCGGAUUUAUUGGGCGUAAAGAGCUCGUAGGCGGUCUGUCGCGUCUGCUGUGAAAACUCGGGGCUUAACCCCGGGCCUGCAGUGGGUACGGGCAGACUAGAGUGCGGUAGGGGAGACUGGAAUUCCUGGUGUAGCGGUGAAAUGCGCAGAUAUCAGGAGGAACACCGGUGGCGAAGGCGGGUCUCUGGGCCGUAACUGACGCUGAGGAGCGAAAGCAUGGGGAGCGAACAGG